rnacentral:rRNA from 1 species
UACGAAGGGGGCUAGCGUUGCUCGGAUUGACUGGGCGUAAAGGGCGCGUAGGCGGUUCGUACAGUCAGACGUGAAAUUCCUGGGCUCAACCUGGGGGCUGCGUUUGAUACGUGCGGACUUGAGUGCGGAAGAGGGUCGUGGAAUUCCUGGUGUAGCGGUGAAAUGCGCAGAUAUCAGGAGGAACACCAAUGGCGAAGGCAGCUCGCUGGGACGGUACUGACGCUGAGGCGCGAAAGCGUGGGGAGCAAACAGG